rnacentral:rRNA from 1 species
ACGGGUGGUAAUGCCGGAUGUUCCACAUGAUCGCAUGUGAUUGUGGGAAAGAUUCUAUCGGCGUGGGAUGGGGUCGCGUCCUAUCAGCUUGUUGGUGAGGUAACGGCUCACCAAGGCUUCGACGGGUAGCCGGCCUGAGAGGGCGACCGGCCACAUUGGGACUGAGAUACGGCCCAGACUCCUACGGGAGGCAGCAGUGGGGAAUAUUGCACAAUGGGCGCAAGCCUGAUGCAGCGACGCCGCGUGAGGGAUGGAGGCCUUCGGGUUGUAAACCUCUUUUGUUUGGGAGCAAGCCUUCGGGUGAGUGUACCUUUCGAAUAAGCGCCGGCUAACUACGUGCCAGCAGCCGCGGUAAUACGUAGGGCGCAAGCGUUAUCCGGAUUUAUUGGGCGUAAAGGGCUCGUAGGCGGCUCGUCGCGUCCGGUGUGAAAGUCCAUCGCUUAACGGUGGAUCUGCGCCGGGUACGGGCGGGCUGGAGUGCGGUAGGGGAGACUGGAAUUCCCGGUGUAACGGUGGAAUGUGUAGAUAUCGGG